rnacentral:rRNA from 1 species
GACGAACGCUGGCGGCGUGCUUAACACAUGCAAGUCGUACGGUAAGGCCCUUUCGGGGGUACACGAGUGGCGAACGGGUGAGUAACACGUGAGUAACCUGCCCACAACUUUGGGAUAACGCUAGGAAACUGGUGCUAAUACUGGAUAUGUGUUCCUGCUGCAUGGUGGGGGUUGGAAAGCUCCGGCGGUUGUGGAUGGACUCGCGGCCUAUCAGCUUGGUGGUGGGGUAGUGGCCUACCGAGGCGGCGACGGGUAGCCGGCCUGAGAGGGUGACCGGCCACAUUGGGACUGAGAUACGGCCCAGACUCCUGCGGGGGGUAGCAGUGGGGAAUAUUGCACAAUGGGCGCAAGCCUGAUGCAGCAACGCCGCGUGCGGGAUGACGGCCUUCGGGUUGAAAACCGGGUUCAGCAGGGACGAAGCUUUUUGUGACGGUACCUGCAGAAGAAGCACCGGCUAACUACGUG